UUUAAAAUACAAGUAACAUGUGACAUGAGUAUUUUUAUCACCACAAGUGUCGAUGGAGCUUUGUCUUUUUGUGAACUUUUGAUUCAACACGUUGAAAAAAAAAAAAAAAAAAAAGUCGGGUCGCUAACGUAGCCGGCUAAGCUAGCUGACUUGAACGCUAUGUGUUCCUGCGUUGCCAGGUUGGGUUUGGUCUUCCGCAUAAUUGCUUAUUUUUAUUUGUAUUAUAUUAUAAAAUGACAAUAUAUAUUCAGUCACGCAGCACAACUGUGAUAUGACAUCAUUUAAAAAAAUUCGAUCUGGUGAAAGUAGAUGAGUUACGUCACUACCCCAACCCACACACCUGCAGUUGACGCUGACGUCAUCUCAAAGCGCCGGCGCGUUUUCCAUGGCCGUUUGUCAAUACCUUCAAGACCGUUGUUGAGAGUUCAACUCGGGUGAACGUUCUUCCGUUCACAACGGAAUACAUACUUCUGGUGCUGGUGGACAUCAAAAAUUGCACUUGGCAAUUGCACGUUAACGCCCCCUCCGGACGUAUUUACUAGUGGGGAAACUCUGAGAUAAGUUUGAAACCGAGUUCCUGAGUUGGGGUGACCAGAACCUUUCAACAUGGCGGAGGAGAAGAGGACAGAUUCGCUAACGGAUGGUUGAAAGUGCCGUUGUCCGUCCACGUCACAUCAGACACUUCUGUGUCCGAUACGGACAUUUCCUUACACGCUGCGGAGUCGAGCUGUAGAGCGGGAAACAAACACACACGGAGAUGUAAGAAAGGCCUGAUUAGAUAGAGAUGACAUCCAACCUUGGGAAACAUGGAGGACAGGUCCGACUCGAUGCCCAUCUCAGUCUGAGCCUGCACGAUUCUCUUCUCUGGAAGAAGGAAAACAGAUGAGACUGAUUUCGCUUUCGAGUCCUCUAGUUAGCACAUUUAGAGGAAAAUGGAACGCUUCUAAGUGCCCAACAGGAAAAGGCAACAGGAAGCAGUUGAGUUCAUCUGAUGGCCGCCUUCUGCUGUCAGGUGCUCCACACAUUGACAAAAAAAUUGGAAAAAAUUGCCAACUUCCUCUUGGGUUUACGUCAUGGCACCAGGGUAGUUUUUUUAAAGUCUUGGAAUGAUACAUUCUUUAUUUUUCUCUUUCUCCAAAUAAAU